UACGGAGGGUGCAAGCGUUGUCCGGAAUCAUUGGGCGUAAAGGGCGCGUAGGUGGCUUCUUAAGCGUGCGGUGAAAGCCUGGGGCUCAACCCCGGGUCGGCCGUGCGAACUGGGGCUGGAGCACUGUAGAGGCAGGCGGAAUCCGGGUGUAGCGGUGGAAUGCGUAGAGAUCCGGAAGAACACCGGUGGCGAAGGCGGCCUGCUGGGCAGUUGCUGACACUGAGGCGCGACAGCGUGGG
rnacentral:rRNA from 1 species